GCUCAUUGUGAAUCCUAAGCCAUGUGAUGCACCUGGGUAUGCUGGCUUUACUGGAAGAUUCAUGGAGAGUUACUGUAGUGGUACGAUGUUUCCAGACAAACACAAUAUAUUGCAGAUCAUUUCCAAAGAAAACUAAUGACUGCUUACCUGGAGCUAGACUGCGCUAUUAGGCUGGCACACAACCGCAUUGCCCGAGGAAGUAUACAAGGAAGGAAUUGGACCUGAGAGUGGCAUAGUUUGUCUUGCCUCUCCCUCCUUGUUUGUGAAAUGAAGCGGUAAUUUACACUCCCCCUUUUUCAUGCGCCUUUUUCUGGUGCAGGUUAAUUUUCCUAUACAGUGAGUCAGGGAGUAAGAGAAGGAGCCAAAUGACUCUCACCUCUCACAAUCUCUCUUAUCCCUGCAGUCUCUCUCCUGAGCUUGGAUAGUCCUGUCCUGCUGGGCAAGCCCUGGGGAUGCGCUUGUGCCAGUCUGUGCCAGAAAAGGGACAGUCUGAUAAAUAUUCUCUGUACGGGGAGACAGCCAUAAUGUUAAAAGCUGCAUGUUGCCUUUCAUGAAAUGUUUGCCUGUGUUUGCCCAGAUUCUCCCUAAGAGCGCCAGCUCUCAGUCGCUGACCUCUGCUGCUCUGUGCUGCUCUGUGUGGGGAGGGGGGGUGUGGGGAGGGGUCUGCGUGCCCACUGUGCCGUGCCACCUGGCUGCCCCUCCAUGAGUUCAGUACACCACAGUUGGUGAACAACCCGGCACCUGUGGGAUGUGUUUCAGUGCUUUCCCCAACCAUAGCAGGAGGAGGUUGCGUCAUGAGCUGGGGUUUGCACAGGUUUUGAUGGAAACCAUCACUUGUUUUAGUCUGUGAAUGAGGCAUGUAGGUGAGGAGGUCCUAUGUAGGGUGAGAUUUUGCUGGAAAUGAAGGGAGAGCUUCAACCACCUUCUCAAGAAAGGGGCUGUGACACCGGUUCACAUCCUUCGUUUGAUGCAGUCUGCAACUUCUCCCCUUCAGCAUGGCUGGCCAGUUUCUGGGGGGCUGGAGCAGCUGAAGUGAAAUGGUGGUCAAAAGGCAGAGGAGAGAUGAUUUCUUAAUUCUACAUAAUUCUCCACACUCCUCCUCCUGCAGGUGUAUUUAUAAUACAACUAAAACCCCUUCCAUCCCUUUCCAGUUCCACACUGGGACCUGGAACUUUCAAAUAAAUGAAUCUUUGCAAGAACUUUAAAUUCUAAGCUUUAGGUUCAGGGAUAAAACUGCCUUCUACAUUGUGACAGGAUAGGAAGGAGGAGGAAAGACCAGAGAUUCUAGACUCCUAUUUCAAGGAGUAAUUUCAGAGUUAUUGGCUCAGCUGAUCAAAAAAGAGCUGCUAUUGCAGUAAUCACAGCAGUACCUAGAGGCUAUAGUCAGAAUUGGAAGGAUGUGGCUUUGAUAUUUCCUAAAAUAAAUACAAAUAUUCUUUGCUCUUUUAAGCUGAGUCAACAGAAGAGCAGCUAACUGCUCUGUUAGCCAAAAGCCCCCGUACUAUUUUGGUCACUUUUUCUUCUGCUGUGCCUUAAACCACAAUUUAAACAUUAUCUCCAUUUGUUCUCUUAGUGAUCCACUGGAAAUUAGACUGCAGAGGGCAGAAGGGAAACAUGACCCAUGGCUUUAAAAAUAAGACGUUGGUACCUGUUGAGUGGGCUUCAGCCUGCUCUUGGUUGCACUCUCAACACUUGCAUUUGCAGUUGCUCACAGUGAAAGCAGCAGCCGUGUCUGGCAGGUAGCUAGUCAGAGUGGACUGCCAUGUCCCUAGACAUCUCCCCAUCACCUCAGGACAGCCACACUUGUCUGACGUCUUUGUGCUGGUGACUCCUCAGCUAUCUUACCAAGUCCUGUUGGCUUUCCUGGGUUCAAGUGAGAUGUUUCAAGCCAGCAGCCAACUGUCAUCAAUAAUAGCUGUAUUUAUCAUGUCAAAAUAAAUUAGUUUUCUUCAAAGAAA